rnacentral:rRNA from 1 species
AUUGAACGCUGGCGGCAUGCCUUACACAUGCAAGUCGAACGGCAGCACGGGAGCAAUCCUGGUGGCGAGUGGCGAACGGGUGAGUAAAGUAUCGGAACGUGCCCAGUCGUGGGGGAUAACGUAGCGAAAGUUACGCUAAUACCGCAUACGAUCUAUGGAUGAAAGCGGGGGAUCGCAAGACCUCGCGCGAUUGGAGCGGCCGAUAUCAGAUUAGGUAGUUGGUGGGGUAAAGGCUCACCAAGCCGACGAUCUGUAGCUGGUCUGAGAGGACGAACAGCCACACGGGGACUGAGACACGGGCCAGACUCCUACGGGAGGGAGGAGUGGGGAAUUUUGGACAAUGGGCGAAAGCCUGAUCCAGCCAUGCCGCGUGCAGGAUGAAGGCCUUCGGGUUGUAAACUGCUUUUGAACGGAACGAAAAGGUUUGGCCUAAUAAGCUGAGCUCAUGACGGUACCGUAAGAAUAAGCACCGGCUAACUACGUGCCAGCAGCCGCGGUAA